UAUAGAGACCUUUAGGUUUAGGCUGGGUAACUACAGAGACCUUUAGGCUGGGUAACUAUAGAGACCUUUAGGUUUAGGCUGGGUAACUAUAGAGACCUUUAGGUUUAGGCUGGGUAACUAUAGAGACCUUUAGGUUUAGGCUGGGUAACUACAGAGACCUUUU